UGAAUCAUUAUAAGAGGUCCAGCCUGCCCAGUGACCCUGUUCAACGGCCGCGGUAUCCUAACCGUGCGAAGGUAGCGUAAUCACUUGUUCUCUAAAUGUGGACUAGUAUGAAUGGCAUCACGAAGGUUAUACUGUCUCCUUUCUCUAAUCAGUGAAACUAAUCUCCCCGUGAAGAAGCGGGGAUAGCACUAUAAGACGAGAAGACCCUAUGGAGCUUCAAACAAUGCAGCACCUGCCCGAUAAUACUGAGAUUUCCGAAUUAAAACUCCUCUAGGCAGUAUGACUGCAAGUUUUUGGUUGGGGUGACCACGGAGCACAACAUAACCUCCAUGCUGAAAGAAAAUCUCUAAGCUAAGAACCACAAAUCUAAGCAUCAAUAAAUUGACACCCAUUGACCCAAUACACUUGAACAACGAACCAAGUUACCCUAGGGAUAACAGCGCAAUCCACUUCAAAAGCUCCUAUCGACAAGUGGGUUUACGACCUCGAUGUUGGAUCAGGGUCUCCCAGUGGUGCA
rnacentral:rRNA from 1 species